GAUGAACGCUAUUGACAGGCUUAACACAUGCAAGUCGAGGGGCAGCACAGGUAGCAAUACCGGGUGGCGACCGGCGCACGGGUGAGUAACGCGUAUGCAACUUACCUAUCAGAGGGGGAUAACCCGGCGAAAGUCGGACUAAUACCGCAUGAAGCAGGGGUCCCGCAUGGGGAUAUUUGCUAAAGAUUCAUCGCUGAUAGAUAGGCAUGCGUUCCAUUAGGCAGUUGGCGGGGUAACGGCCCACCAAACCGACGAUGGAUAGGGGUUCUGAGAGGAAGGUCCCCCACAUUGGUACUGAGACACGGACCAAACUCCUACGGGAGGCAGCAGUGAGGAAUAUUGGUCAAUGGGCGUAAGCCUGAACCAGCCAAGUCGCGUGAGGGAUGAAGGUUCUAUGGAUCGUAAACCUCUUUUAUAAGGGAAUAAAGUGCGGGACGUGUCCCGUUUUGUAUGUACCUUAUGAAUAAGGAUCGGCUAACUCCGUGCCAGCAGCCGCGGUAAUACGGAGGAUCCGAGCGUUAUCCGGAUUUAUUGGGUUUAAAGGGUGCGUAGGCGGCCUUUUAAGUCAGCGGUGAAAGUCUGUGGCUCAACCAUAGAAUUGCCGUUGAAACUGGGAGGCUUGAGUAUGUUUGAGGCAGGCGGAAUGCGUGGUGUAGCGGUGAAAUGCUUAGAUAUCACGCAGAACCCCGAUUGCGAAGGCAGCCUGCCAAGCCAUGACUGACGCUGAUGCACGAAAGCGUGGGGAUCAAACAGGAUUAGAUACCCUGGUAGUCCACGCAGUAAACGAUGAUCACUAGCUGUUUGCGAUACAGUGUAAGCGGCACAGCGAAAGCGUUAAGUGAUCCACCUGGGGAGUACGCCGGCAACGGUGAAACUCAAAGGAAUUGACGGGGGCCCGCACAAGCGGAGGAACAUGUGGUUUAAUUCGAUGAUACGCGAGGAACCUUACCCGGGUUUGAACGCAUUCGGACCGAGGUGGAAACACCUUUUCUAGCAAUAGCCGUUUGCGAGGUGCUGCAUGGUUGUCGUCAGCUCGUGCCGUGAGGUGUCGGCUUAAGUGCCAUAACGAGCGCAACCCUUGCCACUAGUUACUAACAGGCGAUGCUGAGGACUCUGGUGGGACUGCCAGCGUAAGCUGCGAGGAAGGCGGGGAUGACGUCAAAUCAGCACGGCCCUUACAUCCGGGGCGACACACGUGUUACAAUGGCGUGGACAAAGGGAUGCCACCUGGCGACAGGGAGCGAAUCCCCAAACCACGUCUCAGUUCGGAUCGGAGUCUGCAACCCGACUCCGUGAAGCUGGAUUCGCUAGUAAUCGCGCAUCAGCCAUGGCGCGGUGAAUACGUUCCCGGGCCUUGCACA
rnacentral:rRNA from 1 species